AUUGAACGCUGGCGGCAGGCCUAACACAUGCAAGUCGAGCGGAGCGGCGGACGGGGGAGUAAUGCCUAGGAAUCUGCCUGGUAGUGGGGGAUAACGUCCGGAAAAGGGCGCUAAUACCGCAUACUAUCAGAUGAGCAUAGGUCGGAUUAGCUAGUUGGUGUGUAAAAGGCCUACCAAGGCGACGCUCCGGAACUGGUCUGAGAGGAGGAUCAGUCACACUGGAACUGAGACACGGUCCAGACUCCAACGGGAGGCAGCAGUGGGGAAUAGGGCACAAUGGGAGCAAGCCUGAUCCAGCCAUGCCGCGGGGAUGAAUAAGGCCUUCGGGUUGGAAAGUACUUUCAGCGGGGAGGCGUUACCCGCAGAAGAAGCACCGGCUAACUCCGUGCCAGCAGCCGCGGUAAUUC
rnacentral:rRNA from 1 species